UUCCAGUAUGUCGGCAUUUCAAAUCCUAAUUCAGCGCGUCAAAGAAGCAAAUAAACAUCACACAUCAUUUAAAAAAUUAAAUAACACUUUUUGUGUUAUUCAAUAAAAAUCGAUCUAUCAAUUAACUUGUUGGAUUCCCAGAGAGCAUUCAACUUGUCAGUUAGCAACUAACAACCAUCAACGUCCAAACUGUUACGCGUGUUUAUUGCUCUCAUAUCCCAUGAGAGUGUUUGUCUAACGAUUGCCGUAGUUGACGCUAAAAAAUAAAGUUAUCACUGAGACGGUAAGACAGAAUGUUUUAUAUUUUUCGAACAAGAAAAAAUGAACCAGCGAACGAACGGAAGUUUUAAUACAGACUUGUGACAACCUACGGCUGAUGAUACUCUGCUGCUACUAGAGUUACUGCUACUGCAGAUGAUGUUGAUGUUGAUGCUGAUGAUAAUGAUGAUGAUUAUAAACGCUGCGUAAAAUCAGUAUCAUGAUAAUGGAGCCAUAGAACAAAAGGUGCGUGCGGGCUCAAGCCUCAGGAAUUAACGCAUUACAUUACAUAGACAUAUAGAGAGUAUAUACAUAUAUAUUUCAACUGAUGCUGGCAUACAUGUGAUUAAUAAUGACAUACAAUCCAUCGGUUAACGAUUACACGGAAAGCUCGGGUGUUUGUUAUAAUAGUUAAUGUGAAACCUAGCUCGACUUAGU